rnacentral:misc_RNA from 1 species
UGUUUUAGAAUUAAUGUAUUUGUUCGUUAAGGUAUGCUUUUCUGCUAUAUCCAUAUUGGGAGGUUUCGUCUGUGGAGGUAACAUAAAAGCAUAUGAUGAUCACAACGCAAAUAAUAUUCAAACUAGAGUAUAUGACCCAUUUAUUGGGUGUGAUCUUAAAAUGUCAACUGAUAGGCUUUUUACCAAACAGAUGUUGCAUGUUGAGGUUCAUUCACUUUAUACAGGGUUACUAACAUCCCAUUCAGCAUAAUUUUCAUUUAAAAUGAAAAAAGUGGUAGUUGGUUCGUGUCUUAUGAACUAAUUUCGAGCAUAUUCAUAUUCAUCUUGAUGAAGCUAUAAAGGAUUAUAAGCUCGUCAAAGGAAUGGAUGUAAGACUAUUGCUAGUGCGUAACUAUAGAGUUGACAUAUACCGCUCCUUUGCAUGACGAUUUAUAGCACUGGGCACUGAUAUAUAUGAGUGACACUGCUUAUUAAGUGAGCCUCAGAAACUCACUGUUACUGAUUUCGGGGUGCUUGUCAACGAUAGUUUGUCUCUGCUCUACUCUUCACAUUAUGCGGUUUUUAGGCAUAUAUCUAUUUCUUUGAUGGCUUAAAAUUUGUUCUUCCUUUCUUUUUCCAAAAUAUGUUUUUACCUUUGUGAUCAUUAAAGGAUUAAUGAUCAAAGCUAUAAAUGUAAAAGGAAGUGAUUUGCUACCCCAAGUAAGAGAAAGCGAGGAAAGGAACCGAUUAAUUGAGAUGAAUUUAUCGCAGUCAUAGGAUGAAAUUAUCUUAUAUUAAUGACAAGCAUAUGUCUGAUACAAUUUGAAGACAGGUAUAAUUCUGAUGACACUUAUUAAGUGAUAUGCUCUUUUUGCUGUUCACUAUGCUUGCUUUCUCGGAUAUCUUUAUUUUUUCUGCAACAUGGAUGUUGCUGUUAGGAUAUAAGUCAUGCUCAAGUGUAGAUGGAGUAUGCCAAAAAAGCGGUGUCAUGUAUAUGAUGAUUUGCACAUUCUCACGACGGUCAACUGUAAUUCUUGCAAUGCAAGGAUGUUUGAUGAUAUUUCAGCUUUGA